GCGACGCAGCAGCACUGGUUAUUAGGACUUCAGGGAAGGAUACCGUCAGGGUAGGAUACCGUCAACAAGCAAGGCAGCCUGUGGCUUUUCUGAACUCUUCCAGUUGUGAUGGCAGUGUGGAUGUCUAAGCCUCUCCCAUGACUGGCAGCCACCUUCAGCAGAUACCAUGCCACCAAGGAAGUUAGUUGAUGUACUUGGCCAUAUCAACGAGGAGUGGAUCUUCAGCUUCCGUCUAGCCAAUCACCAGCUUACUUUUGGGAACACUGAAACACAGUUGUGCACUGGCUGAUGUAUGUGAUGACUUGCCCUGGCACAGUCACAGAUGUUUCAUUGCACAACUCCACACAGGUG